UACGUAGGGGGCGAGCGUUGUCCGGAUUUAUUGGGCGUAAAGGAGCGUGUAGGCGGCCAGGUAGGUCUGCUGUGAAAACUCGAGGCUCAACCUCGAGACGUCGGCGGAAACCAUCUGGCUAGAGUCCGGAAGAGGAGAGUGGAAUUCCUGGUGUAGCGGUGAAAUGCGCAGAUAUCAGGAAGAACACCCGUGGCGAAGGCGGCUCUCUGGGACGGUACUGACGCUGAGACGCGAAAGCGUGGGGAGCGAACAGG
rnacentral:rRNA from 1 species